UUGACCGUGGCAAGGUAGCAUAAUCUAUUGUCUUUUAAUUAAAGGCUUGUAUGAAUGGUUGGAUGAGAUAUCAACUAUUUUUAUUUUAAUAAAAAUGAAUUUUAAUUUUUAGUAAAAAUGCUAAAAUAAAAAAAUUAGACGAGAAGACCCUAUAAAUCUUUAUUUUUAAAAGAUAAUAUUAAUUUUGUAAAUUAUUAAAUAUUUAUUUUUAAAAAAUUUAAUUGGGAGGAUAAUGAAAUUUAAUAAACUUUUAUUUUAUUUUAUAAAUAUAAUUAAAUUAAUGAAUAUAUUAUAAUGUUUAAAAAAUUAAGUUACUUUAGGGAUAACAGCGUAAUUAUUUUAAAGAGUUCUUAUCGAUAAAAUAGUUUGCGACCUCGAUGUUGAAUUAAGAAUUAAUGAGGCGCAAAAGUGACU
rnacentral:rRNA from 1 species